rnacentral:lncRNA from 1 species
CUUUCAACUUGAUAUGGGAAGGUGGAAAACUGUCAUUUUCACGUGUUUUCAAAAUUAUAUUACUUCACAAUAAUCAAGGAUGUAAGUUAAAUAUAAACAUUAAUGAAUUGCCAAAAAACAACCUCGCAUUAUAUGUUAUUUGUUGUAAAUUGUAUUUUGAAAUAUGUUGAUGUAUAAAUUGUUAGAAUUCCAAAUAAAUUUUCAAAAAAUCAUAAAAAGAAUUUAGUAAAGAUAAGUAGUUCCAUAUGAUAUGAAGCCUUUAAUAUUUGAUUUUACUAACUUAAAUAAAAAGCAAUUGAAAAUGUAAGCUCUUUACAUUUAAUAAAGCUCUAUCAAGGAUCAUCAAGCAGCUAACAACACUGAAUCAUAAACUUGUAGGGUGAGAAACACUGAAGUGGGUCUCAUUGGGGUCUAAGUGUGGAUUGCUGAUUUUUGUAAGCAUGUAACGUGAAAGUCAAACUAUUGUGCCAUGAUAAUGGGAAAUGAAGUCUAUCGCGAUACAGGAAAUUAUGAAAAAAAGAGAAUUGUUUACAAACAAAGGACAGUAAGCAGGAUACUGGAAUCUGACAAAACAGUUAGCAGGAUCCGGGAUCAGAACACCCCAAUGAGACUCCCACUGAAGCAUGUACUUGUAAGGUUAAAACACUUAAGCAUGCAGAUUUGUUAAGUAAGUGACAAAGCACAAAUAAGCAGAAGCUCUCUAAAUUAUCAAAAUAAAAAGCCAAGCUGAAAACAAAAGCAUGGAACUAAAUGCAAUUGUGUAGCAGAAGUAAACUGGUUUUACAUGCAUAUAACAUUAUCAUGAGUUGCCAAACAGGGGUUCAAAUUAACAUUUGGUACUGGAAGGUCCAGGACCUUUGACACUCAAAACUGAAAGGUCCACAACCUAAAUUGCAGGUCUCUACUUUUACUUGAAAUAUUUUAUAACACAGUAAGAUACAAAAUUAUUGUGCCUUUGGUGUUAGGUUAUCUUGUUACAUUGUCAGUGUCACUGUUGUAUAAUAUGUUCAAUAAACUAAUAAAUAUAAUUGUCUUGUAUAUUAUGAAUUCAUAUUAUCUUUAUUUUUUUUUAUUUGGUAGGGUGUCACUGUUGGUAGGUGUGUUGUAACCAAGAUUAGUAAUUAAUUACUAAUUAUAUCAUUACCUCAGGGCUCACACUACUUCAACUCGAUUUUAAAAGUCACUAGAGCUUGUUACUUUGUUACAUUGUAUCAUAUCAUUACCUCAGGGCUCACACUACUUCAACUCGAUUUUAAAAGUCCACUAGAGCUUGUUACUUUGUUACAUUGUAUCAUAUCUAGUUGUACUAUUUUUAUAAUAAAGUACGAAACUUCCAGCUAUUUACAGGCCCCUAAAAAUUGAGGAGAAAUUACCCCUUGGAAUUGCAUAAUUUGUUUACACUUUAAAAACAUCUGCAUGUCAUAUCCCACAUGUAUUAAUGAUAAAAGAAAAAUGCUGUCACAUUGUAUUGGAUGUUGACAUGGAAAUUUGUCAACUAAAAAACUUAUUAAGUAAUUUUGAGUUCAACCUAAAAUAUUUUCUGGUCUUUCUUUCUUUUCCAUAUAUCUUUUGGUUUUCAAUUCUAGUGAUUAUAUUUCAUAAUCUUAGAUGUAUUUUGUCACAACUUCAAGCCUGACAUUAAUUUUUUUAUUGUAUUUGAUCGGCAAACCCGGAAUUACCCUUAUCCGUCCCGGAAACUGAUCCGGUAUUGUAAUUAUCUUCAUUUCCGGUUUAUAUAUGGCAUCCAUUGUUUUUCUAUGUUGAUGUUGUCAGUCAGAUACGAUUUCACUCGGAUUUACAAAUUACUUUUUAACGAUUUUCGGUAUAAAAUUAGCGGUUGGAUAAAAUGAAUAUUGCUGUCAUGAAUAAUAAAGAUGAGAAUUUAUUUUGAGAUCGUUUAUUUGGAAAUUUUGAUAAAAAGGUCUGCGAAGUUAUUUUUUAUUUUCUUUCAAAUCGAAGGUCCGUCGGGCGUAGCUAGUAACCAAAACGAAGGUCCGCUUGCAAAAGUGGAAGGUCGCGGACCUCGGACCACCGCUAAUUUGAACCCCUGCCAAACCAAGAAUUUGUCAAGUUCUAGAAUAGAUUGAAAGAUGAUUGCUUACACAGCUUAUCUGGAAGCUCAUUCCAAAGUUUACCACCUGCAUGCUUUAAAGAUUUUUAGCCAUAUGCAGUUGUUCUUACAUGGAUAGGCUGCCUUAUUUUGGUAUCUGACAGAGUAGGUGUUUUUCUUUCAGUGCGAUUAAGUCAUGAAUAUAAAGAUGUGCUAUUGUGUACAAUUAGUUACACUAUCAAUAUAUAUAAAGCCUCGGUCACACCUUACCGGAUAGCUCGAACGGGCGCUUAACGGAUAACUUUUUUAUGCCCCACCUUCGAUUGUAGAGGGGCAUUAUGUUUUCUGGUCUGUGCCUCCGUCCUUCCGUCCGUUCGUUCAGGUUAAAGUUUUUGGUCAAGGUAGUUUUUGAUGAAGUUGAAGUCCAAUCAACUUCAAACUUAGUACACAUGUUCCCUAUGAUAUGAUCUUUCUAAUUUAAUUGCCAAAUUAGAGUUUUGACCCCAAUUUCACGGUCUACUGAACAUAGAAAAUGAUAAUGCGAGUGAGGCAUCUGUGUACUAUGGACACAUUCUUGUUUCAAUCCGUUUUCAUGUCCGUUCUUAUCCAUUAGACGUCCGUCCAUAUCCGUUGCAUGUCCGUUAAGCGUACGUUUUAUCGGUCGACGUCCGUUCUGUCUGGUGGAAAAUUUUGAGCAUGUUCAAAACUUUGAACGGACGUCCAACCGAUAAAAUGUCCGUUGAAUGUCCGUUAGGCGUCUGUUUUGUACGGUACUCGUUCGUUUUGUUUCCGUUUUGUAUCCGUUAUGUGUCCGUUAUAUAUGGAGGUUGGAAGAUAAAUUCACCAACAUACUUCUACCGGACGUUUAACAGAUAAAACGGAUGAGAAACAGACUUCUACGGAGGUAUAACAGAUAAAACGGGAUGAUGAAUGGAUCUGAAAGGGAUAAAUGCCAAUUGAAAAUUUCGCGUCAGAAAUGCCAAUUAUUGGUAUGUCAGAUUUCUUAAGGUUCAUGAAUUCUUAUUAUUCAUUAUCGAUCUUAGAGUAUACAUUGUAGGCACAUUCACAAUCAAGCAGUACUUUUUCAGGCCAGACACUUUGGUGGGAUUUUGAAGAAAAAACCAAAACCAGUUACACAGAAACAUUUUGAAUAUUUAUGCGAUUUACAUGUAUUAUUAUUGUCGCUUUUGAUUUUUCCGUAUAUCUUGUUCAUCUGUUUUAUCCGGUACGCUUCCGUUAGGUGUCCGUUUUAGGCAGUACUGGUCCGUUGGAUGUACGUUCGACAUCCGUUCUGUCAAAUAUGGUGUCCGUUUCUCGUACGUUGAUAUCCGGUGUGUGUCCGUUAUGCAUCUGUUACACGUCCAUUUAAUUCGGUCAGUACAUCCAUGGACUCCCAACGGAUAACAAUUUUGUCAACACAACUUUUUUUUCAUCGGUUAGGCGUCCGUUCAUGCUAUCCCGGUAAGGUGUGACCGAGGCUUAACUAUUCGAACUUUUGAUUCAGGAUUUCUGUAAGAGCAUUACAAUUCUCUAAAAAGUGAUAAUCUUUUUAAUUAUGCAGGUCAAGUCACAAUACAGAUCACAUAGACAGGUUACAGGGAGAUGUCAACGAGGUAACACAUCUUUUGAAGGACAAUGUUGAAAAAGUUCUGGAACGUGGAGAGAAAAUUGAAGAUUUGCAGAAUCGUUCAGGUAAAUAAAACAAUGUCAAUGUACUUAAUGUAGAUGUGGCAACAUUCAGUUAAAUAACUAAAUAACCACAAACAAGUGUUUUAAAAUAUUUUUUGUGUAUAUGUUACGUAUACAAUGUUAGCUCAUAAAUAUGAAAAAGAAGAUGUGGUUUUAUUGCCAAUGAGACAACUGUCCACAAGAGACCAAAAUGACACAGCAAUUAACAACUGUCGGUCACCGUACGGCCUUCUUUAAGUCAGAUGUUUUUCUUAAGUACAUUGUCUUUUAAAAGGCUUGUAACCUUUUAUAUUCUGCCAAUAUAAAAAUAUGAAGAUAAGAUAUGAUUGCUAGUGAAACUACUACAAAAAAUGUAUCUACUAGAAACCAGUGAACAAGGACUUUAACAUCUAUAGGCUACUCAACAGCUCACAAUAAUUUACAAAACUCAUGAAUAAUAAGAUAUAAAAGACCCCAGGGUUACCAAAAAUGAAAUGAUACAAAAAUAAAAAACCAACAGCCUGAAAAAGACUAAAAUAUAGGCAUAUAGAAUGUGUUGGAUUAAAAAUGAUUCAGAGUCCUCAACCUUCCCCAAUUCUUGGACAGUGAUUUGAUAGUAGAACAUACAUGUUGGAACGUAAUUCUAAAAUCAGCUGGAAUAGCUUUAUGCAUCAGAUUUGCACAAAGCCACAACAAAAAACCCAAAAUACAGAACUAAGAUGACACUCAAAGAAAGCCAAUUUAAUAACUAAUGAAAAACAUAUAUUUUCUUGGUUUGCUACAAAUUGAAAUAUGCAUGUAAUUUUUACAUUACAGAGGACUUAACUGCUAGUUCCAUUCAGUUUAAGUCUCGAUCACGAGACCUACGAAGGAAGAUGUGCUGUAAGAAUUUUAAAAUGACCUGUAUAUUGAUAAUAGUGAUAACUGUUGUUAUAGCAAUAAUAAUUCUUGUCAUUUUAUGUAAGUAUUUGUAUUUUACUGUUGAAUUCUUUUCCAAGAUGAAGUGUCAGUUUGAAAGUUUAUGUACUUAUGAACACACAAUCCCUCACCACAAACGUCUUGACAUUUUUUGGAAAACAAUAGACUAUUUUCAUAUUUCUGAAUUUUGACUCUGGAUUAUAUAAUUUUUGGACAGAUUAAAUUUUCUGUGGUAUCAUAUUCUGGUACCAAGUCAAGUAAGAGCAACCAGAAUAAGUAAAAUCAUAUAAUUGGUUUAUAUUGAGAGAAAAAAAAAUUAAAAUCCAGACUCAAAAGUCGGUAACAUGAAACCAGUUUUUUGUUUACACUGGGUAUUCUGUUCUAUAACACAGAGUAAUUGUAAUUCUUAGGAGCAAUCAAUGAAAAGUUUGUAUAAAGAAUGUAUGCUCCAUGGGAAUCACAAUACUACCUAACCAUUGUUACAAACAUUUUAUUAAUUGCUCUUCUCUAUUCUGAUCCCAAUCUGAUUGGAAUUACCCGGUGUGUUGAUACAGUAUAAUCUGUAUUGCAACAUUUUUUUCCAAUGUAUCUUUUUUUUGUAAGGAAACAAAUUUGAAAGUUAACUAGAUGUAAUAUCAGUUAUAUUACAAAUCAAACUGGCCCGUCAUAGCUUGCUGUUCAGUGUGAGCCAAGGCUCUGUGUUGAAGACCUAUAAUGAUUUAUUUUUACAAAUUGUGACUUGGAUGGAGAGUUGUUUCAUUUGCACUCAUACCAAAUCUUCUUAUAUCUGUUAGCUGUAUAAUAUUUGAAGUCACAUGUAUGUACUAAGACAGCAAAAUCUAAAAUUUUAAUUUAUUAUGCUUAAAAUAACAUACAUGAGGCACAUUCAUAAAUUGGCUUAGGGUGACAUAGCUUGAACUCAACAAAUGAUAAUAAUGAAGGGAUGGUUUUGUUUAUAAGAUUAUAAGAAGUUAUGAUUAUUAUAACAAAUGAAAGAAACAAAACUGAUAAUAUUAUAGAAAAUGUUAAAACUUCUGACAAAUCAAAAAAGUAUCUGAUUAUGUUUACCUUUCUUAGUGAAACAAAUAGAAUUUCUAUGAUAUCUUAAAACAUUUUUCCAUAAUCAGCUUAGGGCUAUUCCAGAAAAAAAUGUAUGGGGGGGGGGGGGGGUUGGAAGGCACAUUGUAUUGAUAAUAUAUGGGUGAUGGGUAUCGGAGCAACUUUUCACACUAUAAUGCACUAUAAUUCUCAAUUACAAUUGUCUGGGUGCGGGUGCUGACAAAAACUGCCUUCCAACCCCCCCAUACAUUUUUUUCUGGAAUAGCCCUUAACAAUAUAUUUUAAAAGUUGACUUUGAAGUGAAAAAUCAUCAUCCUUUUCAAAGUCUAAAAGUCUGACAGUAAAUUUACUCUUUGAUCUUUUUAUUGUAGUCACAGUUAAACCAUGGGAUAAAGACUCAGGCAGUGGGCAUCAUAAAAAUGAAACGUACAUAAUGUCAACCUGAUCAUUACCACAUGCUCUUAGAGAAUAUAUAUGUAUAUACUGUGAGAUAAAGAUUUUAUGAACAAAUUUAUCAGCAUGUAACACACUUAUACAUGCUUUAUAAGCUUUUAAAUUAGUAUCCUCUAAUAAUUACAUUAGAUGAAUGUUUCAUUAUAAUAGGUUAUUCUUAUUGGCUACACUGCAAUCUCGCGUUAUUCUUAAUCUAUUUCAUUACACAAUAAAAUGUAUCCUUCAUGAUGACAUGAGGUCCCUAAAUAACUUGCACAGGUAAAUUAAAUAAAAACUUGAUUAAAUCGUGUUUUCAUGAACCUAGCUAAAAAAUGUAAUUAUAAGUAUUGAAUGCUUCUUUUUGUAACUGCAUAGGGUUGUAAAAGGGUUGACCAUGUGCACAUUUUUGAAUGGCGCUUCUUGGCUUCAUACAAAAUGUACUUCAAUCAACGCUUUUGCACCCCAUUGAAGUUACAAAAAGAAGCAUUCAAUACUUUUAAAAUAAUAAAGUGUAUUUUCAGAAACAAAACAUAAAUAUGAUACCAGAAAUCCAUAAUAAAUUUAUUUUGUUUGUAUGUCUUGAUAAUAUAUGUCAUAAUAACUCAGACUGAGUCGAGUAUUGUAAUAUUUAAUUGUAUGUCUUGAUAAUAUAUGUCAUAGUAAUUCAGACUGAGUGGAGUAUUGUAAUAUUUAAUUGUAAAUAUGUUGUGUGAAAGAGAGAGAAUAGUUUUUUCUUCUUAUGACCCUUGAUAUGUUUAAUACAUUUUAAUCAUAUAGAUUUUUACUGAUAGGUGUCCAUGACUCUGAAGCCUUAUUGGCAUCAAGAUUCUAUGUUAGAACUGCGACAAAAAUAUAAUUCCCCAGACUCUUUGUGAAAACCUUGAGAUAUUCUAUUUAUGAAAUGUUCAGUUAUAUUUAUUUGACCUGCUAACUUCAUUGUUUUUUUACUGUUACCUUGUAUAUUUAUACUGCAAUUUAUUUAGAAUACAUAGUAUUUUUGAUGUGAUCUUAAGAAUAUCUAUCCAAUACAGUUUAAUACUUACAAAUAUAGUCCCACCUUUUGUUAACUUGUUCUUGAUUAUAAAAUAAAUAUUAUUUUUAUAAUGAGGAAAAUGACUUUAGUAAAUGUUAUUUUUUGUCAUGGUUAUCAUUCUCACUACCUGACUAAGCUGUAGGCAAUCAAGCAUGUCAUGGUUCACAUUCUCACUUCCUAACUAAGCUGUAGGCAAUCAAGCAUGAAAUCAAUCAAAUCAAAUCAAUCAUAUAUAACUGCAAUAUCUUUUUUAUUUUAUUUGAAUUUUAAAUGUUUUUAUUUGCCAUUCCUUUAAUGUAUAAAUUGUCUUACUGGUUUCUACUUUUUGAAAAAUGGCCAUCUGCCUGAUGUUUUAUAAACACCGCUUACUUAUGUCAAUGUAACACUUACAGCAAAAGGCCUUGAGUAUAUAGGUAAAAGGAAUAUCUUUGGUUAGCUUUCUUGCCAGCUGAACAGUGAAAUCAUUAUAAGGUAAGGUAAACUAACCUCCUUUAAGAGUAGACUAGUCCGACAGAUAACCAAUCUAUCUGUCUGUAGGACUAGACUACUCAGGAAGGAGGGUAUUAUUAUUAUUAUACCUACCAAAUAACGACUUCCAAGGUUCAGCUAGCAAGCUAGCUAACCAAAGAUAAUACCUUUACCUACACACUAAAUGCAUUCUGCUGUAAACAAAUUAAAAUCUCAUUUUGUAAUUUUAUUGAUUCUAUUACUAUUCAACUUCUGUGAUAAUGUGCAAUAAGUAUAUGUAUAUUUUUGUUUAUUUAUGUUUAACAUAACCCUGGUAUUUUGUUAUUGUGAGUUUUUGUCAAAGACUUAUGAAUUAAUGGUCCUUGAUGAACUUUGCAUAUAAUGGAUGUCAAAAGAGGCUAUCAGUGUGUUUUAUAUUUGAGGUAGCAUAGCAAAUUCUGUUUUAAAGAUAUAUUCAAUAAAUAUUAUGAGAGAAAACUGGUGUAAAUAUUGCUUAUAGAUUAAAAAAAAUAAUGUUUGGGUUUUAGAACUGAAAAGAUUAAACAAAACCUCAAAAUGUGUUGUGUAAUAUUAAUUAUCAAACCCGUCACCAUUGCUUAAAAUGGACUUAAAUUUUCCAUUGAAGAGCAUGUUUUUACAAUAUAGAGUGGGGUGCUCAUAUUCACCGGGGACACAAUUUCACCGUUUUAUGAUUUUGAGGUGUAAAAUCUUCAAAGGAUGGCUGAAAUGGAAGAAAUAUGCUGGUAAACUAUAUUUUUAUAACAAAUAUGAUAAUCUAUAAACUUAAACAAAAUUUCGGCGCAGACGAAAAAAACGGACUAGGAUUUUCGGUCAAUUUCCUAAAUGAAAAACAUGAUUUCAAAGAAAUAUUUGUAAGUAAUUCUUUGACUGAUUACCCUAUAAAUUUCAGUUCUUUACACCUUUGAAAUGUCUAUAAUGAAAUUGAUUUAUAUUGUUUAAUGCUACAGUUUACUGGUUUUAAAUAGAUGUGUAAAAACAGUGAAUAUGUGUCCCCCUUUGACAAAACAUCAUAAAAUUUCAUAUAGCCUUUAAUUUAACUUUUCAGAUGAUUUUGUUUUAAAGAAACACUAUUUCAAGCUAAGAAGAUUUUGCUUUUGAUAUUAUGUUCUUAUAAAAUUAUCAGUAUACUUCAAAAACAUGAGGACCUAAACAUAAAGUGCAGAAAACAUGGAAACUUGUGGCGAAAAUGAGCACCCCACUCUACUGAAAACUUUGAAAAUUGUUUGAUGUUUUUAUUUGUUUUAGGGAAAAUGGCAAUGGAAUUGAUAUUACAAAUAUUUAAACGCACAUUUCAAUUUUGAUAUUAAAAGCAUUAUUUUUGUGUUUUCAGUUUCUCAAUAAUUUGUCUUGCAUUUUUGUACACUGUCCAACAAUCACGAUGAUAAUUGCAGGUAAAAUUUGUGAACCUACAGUCAGUAGAAUAUAUUAAAUAAGUAAAGAUUUCAGCCUGAGUCAUGAAUUUCUUUGAAAAAUUGUUUAUAAAAUUAAAGAGCUAAAAUGUGCUUGUUAAUACAUAUACAUGUAUUAGUAUUUUAGUGGUCAGUUUUAUUCGCUUGUUGAUAUUCAUAUUUGAGUGGUCAGUUUUAUUUAUGACAUUAAUGUUUAACAGAUUUGUAUGCUAUGCCAUG